UACAUAAGUCUAUGAUAUUUACCAAGCACUAACCGUGAGAGUUCAUGCUGCAUAAAAUCUUUGCAUGUUUGUUAUAGUCCAACGUCCACAUGCACGUCUCUGAAUCUUUUUCUGGUAUGCGUUUCGGUACACUUACGUAAUUAGCAUGUUGUUAUAAUUAACUAUAACUGUUAUGAUGUGAUGCUUGAAAUUUUGUUGCAUCAAUAUUAAACAUAAAGUUUCGAUGACCAGUGAGCUCUUGGGAGUCAUAAGAAAAUUCUAUUCUAAGAGAAUGGCUCAUUUAUCGUCCAUGUUACAGUUUAUUUUACUACAUUUUUGUAUUAAAUUUGUUGUGGGUUUCGGUUCAACGUGGGAACUCUACCAACUUUUUACCUCAAAACAUGAAAAUUCUUCAGUAUUACACCAAUUUCACAACUCAACGGAUUCCAAAAUUCCACUCGUUUUCACAUUUAAGCCUGGAAAGAAAAUUGGCAGCUUAACUACAGGAAAGGGCCGAGUACUUUUCAUUGGAAAGAAAAAUGAAGAAAUUCCUAGAUUUACUUCACCAAAUUUAACUCCAAACACGUCCGAGCUCACGCCAAAAAAUGAUACAUUAAAGGAAAUUACGGAAACAAAUGUUAACUCAGGGUCUGAAACGGGCGGCGAAUUCUUAGUUUCGACAAUCACCAAACUUAUUCUACAGUUCAUUUCAGUGGACGAUGCUAUAGAAUAUAUGAAUUGGCUCCGAUCUGCUUUAAUCAAUUAUUUCGGCUCCAAAUUCCUCGGGCCGCUCAAGGAAUCGACAAGUAUUUCAACAGGUCGUGAUGGAUGGGGAGGAAUUGCAUUCCCAUCGUUAGAAGGUGCUCUCCUUUCACUAGCUUUUCUCACUUUUGCCGUGUUUCUCAUUGAUUUAAUUCAGAACUUGUUGGCCAACCUUCGAGUACCAACAACGACGACGGCUCCUGACACCGGUGGAAUGGACAUGAUCGAGAUCCCGGUUCGCGGAAGAAAGCAGAAGACACGGGAAUCAAGCUGGAUGUCUGCACUGACGAAUUCCGCGUUGGCUGCUAUUGAGCGUACCAUGUAAUUUAUACAGGCUACUGCUUUCACCUUUUUCAUUCAAUUUACAAACUGGAAAGCAUAUUUAUGCAAUCGUGUUAAUAUUUGUGUUUGAGGUUAAACUACGUCCCAGUUUAAUAAAUUAAGUAAACUAUUAAUUAUGAAAGUCAAUAUUGAAGAAUUUUUGGUGUAUUAUAAUAUAGAUUCUGAUGUUAAUUAUUCAAAUUUGUAAUUACUCUAACCACUCACUUGUAAGUACAAGUGAAAUUACCGGUUCUAUAAUUAACGAGUCGAAAAGUUUUAAAGUCUAUGGUAUUUUUUUACAACUUCCGUCCCAUCCCGUUUUAAAUUUAUGCGAUAGGGAAGAUUAUCAUCAGACUUCCAUUAAACUCACUGUACACAUACUGCACGUACCUGCGCUAUGCAGCAAUUUAAUACAAAUACAAAUAAUGUUGGUCCACAAUGAAGUUAUUUUGUGUGCGCAUCUUUUGUUCGUCCAAAUUCAAGCUCAGCUAAUUUUACAUAAAAGAAUGCGAGGUAUAUUCCGUUGCUUUUCGAGUAGUAAGCAAAUAUAAUUGUGUGUUUGUCUCAAUAAAAGAUGCUUUUUAUUUGACAUUGCAUGGUUCUGUUUUAUGUAAAAGCAACUAAAAAAGAAUCAUCCAAGUGGUCACAAAUUGCUUCACGCUUGGUAGUUCUCGAUGUACAAUUUCCCAGUCCCUGAAGUUUGUUGUUUUAUUAACAGUUCAAAACCCCGUCGUAACAGUUGAAGGCGGAAGUUUGCGUGUGCUUGUGAUAAUGAUAGUUUACAAUUUUUUUGGGAAAAAUUAUUCAAUUUAUUUUGGUAAUGCACGAUCAACUGCAGUUUGACACUUAUUUGUACAAUUCGACAUCAGUGCGGAAUUUUACAACACCGAACAAUCCACCAGUAUUUUCAGGGACUUUAAAAAAUGUAUCAGAUUACGGCGAAACUGUUCACACAGAAGGGUCAUCAUCAUCGAUAUCAAUUGCCCCCAUCGCCGUGGUCGCUGCUGCCUCAACGAUGACUUUAGCUAUAAUUUAUAUUUUGACUAAAGACGUGUCCAAGAAUGGAGGUCAAAAAAGUGCAGCAGGCGGCAGCAGCAGGUCAACUCCUCUGCCUGGAUAUGGAAUUAUGGGAGAUAAAGUCAAUGAAGUUAUAGAACUGUUUUUGGAUGCUUUAGCAGUUUAUGUGCACAACGAUAACAAAUGGGAAUGUCAGCGUCGAAUGCUUUGCGAAGCUAAUCAACGUGCAGGCGAAUAUGGCGUGGUUCAAGGCGUUGUGAUGUACUUCUUGUCCCUCGCCGUUUCACUCCUCCUUCAAAAUCAAAGAGUAUCCGACAGCUUGGAAGCCAUGAAAAGUGGGAGAAGAGGUGGCGACUGUGCACAACUGUAUUCAAAAUGUCCAUUUUCAUUGUGAAAAUGAAAUACCGGAUGGACUAUGUAGUUUUAUGAUUAUAAUUAUCUACUAAGUAAAUACAUCGCACAUUGACACAUAAUUCUAUUAAUCUGCAUGUACUAUGUACGUUUAACGUUAUUAUAUUAUGAUCAAUAAAAUGUGAAUGUCAUAUGAAUAUUA